rnacentral:lncRNA from 1 species
CCUCCCUCACUCUCUCCGUGCUCCCCGCAGGUUGUGCCGGCAGUCCCCGCCGUGCCGCCGGCGCCGCGCGGUUCUGCGUUGGCGCCGCGGGAUGGAGCGCAGCGGGGCCGGCGGCCGAGCGCUCCCGAUGCCCCCCGAGCCCGGCGCCGAGCCGGGGCUGCUCCUGCCCAGCCCCAAAGGCGGCGCCGCCGAGGAGCGGCCGGCGCCCGCGGGGCCCCAGCGCGGCGAGGAACCCUCGGAGCUCUUCUCCUCCUCAUCCUCAUCCUCCUCAUCCUCCUCAUCCCCAUCCUCCUCCUCGCUGGCCCGGCAUGAGCCCGACGUGGCCCUGGAAGCGCACGAUGAGGCCGGUGAGUGCCGCGGUUCGGGUCUGGGGGGCUCGGUGCUCUUGGGGGUGGUGGUGUUGGGGUGGUGGUGGUUGUGUUGGUGAUGGUGGUUCUCUUGGGGAUGGUGGUGUUGGGGUGAUGUUGGUGGUGUUGGUGGUGUUGGUGAUGUUGGUGGUAUUGGUGCUCUUAGUGAUGGUGGUUGUGUUGGUGCUCUUGGUGAUGGUGGUUGUGUUGGUGGUGUUGGUUGUGUUGGUGUUGAUUCUCUUGGCGAUGAUCAUGGCUCUCUUGGUGGUCGUGUUGGUUGUGUUGAUGGUGUUGGUUGUGUUGGAGGUGAUGUUGGUUUUCUCUUGGUGUUGGUUCUUCUGGCGUUGGUUCUCUUGGUGAUGGUGUUGAUUGUCUUGGUGUUGAGUCUCUUGGAGAUGGUGUUGGUUGUCUUGGUGAUGUUAUUGGUUCUCUUGGUGUCGGUUUUCCUGGUGUUGGCUCUCUUGGUGUUGGCUGUCUUGGUGAUGGUGUUGGCUCUUUCUUGGUGUUGGUUGCCUUGGUGAUGGUGAUGGUGCUGACUCUCUCUUGGCGUUGGUUCUCUUUGCGACGAUGAUGGUUCUCCUGGUGAUGGUGUUGGUUUUUUCUUGGUGUUGGUUGUGCUGGUGAUGGUGUUGUGGUGUUGUUUCUCCUCGUGUUGACUCUCUUGGAGAUGCUGUUGGGUCUCUUGGUGUUGGUUCUCCUGGUGAUGUUGUUGGUUCUCUUUUUGAUG